CUCCUGGUCUCGCACCUGAACGACAGAGGAAGAGCAGGCACAGUCACACUCGGGGAGAAGGCAGCCCUGCCUGCACCAGCUUCCAAGCAACUCAUCAGGACUCCUACACAGGUCUUCCUGUGCAGUGAGGGUUGGAAUUCUGGCUGCUUCUCAUGUGUGGAGAGAACGGUUGGUGGAAGAUCAAACCCUGAACACCCCUCCUCAGGGCAGGAUGAGAUCAUUCCUUGGCUUCCCACCAAGAAAUCAGCACUCCCUCCCGCAAACGGUUCAACCCUGCUGAGGGCAUCUGUGCUGAUUAUUGCCGUAGAUGAGUCUCCAAGAACGCCGAGGGGCUGAUUCUUCAGAGAAUCGAAGCCUGGCCACGUGUGGGUGGAUGAGAAAGUA